rfam:Fistulifera solaris DNA, contig: scaffold00061, strain: JPCC DA0580.
GUUGGCGUGGCCGAGUGGUUAAGGCGAUUGAUUAGAAAUCACUUGGGUCUAUCCCGCGCAGGUUCGAGUCCUGUCGCCAACG